UACAAUUAAAAUGAUGGUUUUGUUAUUUUAAUAAUUUUAGUGAUAUUUUCCUUGAAAAAAUAAGCAAUAUUGUUGUAGGGUAGUAAGUAAAAAUAUGGUAUUAUGAAUAAUAACAUAUAUAGUGGAAAUGCACUCAAAGAUAUAUACUUACAUAAAUUGUCACUUUUCAUAGACUUCUUGAGCAUCAAAGAUGCAACAAAGACAAAAAUAGAGG
rnacentral:lncRNA from 1 species